rnacentral:rRNA from 1 species
AAUCAAGCGCGAGAAGGGCGUUUGGUGAAUGCCUUGGCAGUAAGAGGCGAUGAAAGACGUGAUACUCUGCGAUAAGCCAUGGGGAGCUGAGAAUAAGCUUUGAUCCAUGGAUUUCUGAAUGGGGCAACCCACCUGACAGUUUGUUAUAAUUGCCCUCGGGCAGCUUAUAACUUGCUGAAACAGGUACUUAAGAACUGAAUACAUAGGUUUUUAAGAGCAAACCCGGAGAACUGAAACAUCUAAGUACCCGGAGGAAAGGACAUCAAUUGAUACUCCCCUAGUAGCGGCGAGCGAACGGGGACCAGCCGAGCCAUGAGUGUGAAUAGAACGUGUUGGGAAGCACGGCCAUAGUGGGUGACAGCCCCGUAUAUGAAGCAUGAUUGGACGUAUUAAGUAGGGCGGAACACGUGAAAUUCUGUCUGAAGAUCGGAGGACCACCUUCGAAGGCUAAGUACUCCUUACUGACCGAUAGUGAACCAGUACCGUGAGGGAAAGGUGAAAAGCACCCCGACGAGGGGAGUGAAACAGUACCUGAAACCGAACGCCUACAAUCAGUCGGAGCUUGACUGGACUCUAAUGACAAUCUGCUUCAUCAACGUGAUUAAUGAAUCGCGGAUGGAGCAAAACGUGUCAGACCUAGCUUUUAUAACAGAUGGUACAGCUGCAGUAGUUUUCCUGAUAGCAGGACUAAUUGAUGCAGGUGUAAAUCACUGCCCAAACGAGGGCUGCUUCGCCAAAAACGAAGUGCAAUCAUAUAACAGCAUAUCGGUCGGAAACACGUAUUUUCAGGAAGACGAAGUUGGAGAAGAAUUCUACUUCCGGCGGGAAACGGGCGUUGCAGACGGUCCUUUCCAGCGGAUUUGGGGUAUAUCCGCCUCAUCUGACGGCGAACUUUGGGCUGGUGUGGGUCAUGCCUACACGCUCACGAACCGCAAGCAGAACCUUUUCCUGCAGCUCAACGCCAUGACCGGCCUUUAUGAAGAAGGCAGUGGCGUCGAUCUGGGCGGACCCAUUGAAUUUCGAUCGGGCCUGUCGGUCGGAUAUCAGAACAAAGCCGGUGUUCGCAUGAGCCUGAGCGUCGAUCACAGAUCGAACCUCGGGAUCUACAGCGACAAUCCUGGUCUGGAAACCGUCCAAUUCCGGGUCUCAAUUCCCACCAAAUAACCCCACUACAGGGUUGUCAUUAGUGUCCAGUCUUGUGACGGCGUACCUUUUGUAUAAUGGGUCAUCGACUUGGUCUAUCUAGCAAGCUUAAGCCGUUAGGUGUAGGCGCAGCGAAAGCGAGUCUUAAUAGGGCGAAUGAGUUAGGUGGAUCAGACCCGAAACCGAGUGAUCUAGGCAUGGCCAGGUUGAAGGUAAGGUAACACUUACUGGAGGACCGAACCCACAUCUGUUGAAAAAGAUCGGGAUGAGCUGUGCCUAGGGGUGAAAGGCCAAUCAAACUCGGAGAUAGCUGGUUCUCUGCGAAAUCUAUUUAGGUAGAGCGUCAUCCGAAUACCCUCGGGGGUAGAGCACUGGAUGGGUAAUGGGGCCCCACAGGCUUACUGAUCCUAACCAAACUCCGAAUACCGAGGAGUACUAGAUGGCAGACACACUGCGGAUGCUAACGUCCGUAGUGGAGAGGGAAACAACCCUGACCUACAGCUAAGGCCCCCAAUUCAUGGCUAAGUGGGAAAGCAGGUGGGACGACCAAAACAACCAGGAGGUUGGCUUAGAAGCAGCCAUCCUUUAAAGAUAGCGUAACAGCUCACUGGUCUAAAUAAGUUAUCCUGCGGCGAAGAUGUAACGGGGCUCAAGCCAUGAGCCGAAGCUUAGGAUGCCGUAAGGCAUGGUAGCAGAGCGUAGUGUGACAUAGUUCCAUUCCUCCUUAGUACCGUUCGCGGUGCAUUGGAGGAGCGGAGCUUUCGAUGAAGCCGGCGCGUGAGCGAUCCGGUGGAGAGAUCACUAGUGAGAAUGAUGACAUGAGUAGCGACAAAGAGUGUGAGAGACACUCUCGCCGAAAGUCCAAGGGUUCCUGCUUAAAGCUAAUCUGAGCAGGGUAAGCCGACCCCUAAGUCGAGGCCGAAAGGCGUAGACGAUGGGAACUGGGUUAAUAUUCCCAGGCCAGGAGGAAUGUGACGGAUCGUGAAGAUUGUUCACCCUUAUCGGAUUGGGUGGGCCGUUAAUCGGUUCCUGGAAAUAGCACCUCCAUUAGAUCGUACCCUAAACCAACACAGGUGGACUGGUAGAGAAUACCAAGGCGCUUGAGAGAACGAUGUUGAAGGAACUCGGCAAAAUACCUCCGUAAGUUCGCGAGAAGGAGGCCCAGUUUCUACGCAAGUAUUGGCUGGGGGCACAAACCAGGGGGUGGCGACUGUUUACUAAAAACACAGGGCUCUGCGAAGUCGCAAGACGACGUAUAGGGUCUGACGCCUGCCCGGUGCCUGAAGGUUAAAAGGAGAGGUGAGAGCCUUGAAUUGAAGCCCAGGUAAACGGCGGCCGUAACUAUAACGGUCCUAAGGUAGCGAAAUUCCUUGUCGGGUAAGUUCCGACCUGCACGAAUGGCGUAACGACUUCCCCGCUGUCUCCAACAUCGACUCAGCGAAAUUGAAUUACCUGUCAAGAUGCAGGUUUCCCGCGGUUAGACGGAAAGACCCCGUGCACCUUUACUACAGCUUCACAUUGGCAUUAGGCCGAACAUGUGCAGGAUAGGUGGUGGGCUUUGAAUCGGUGACGCCAGUCAUCGUGGAGCCACCCUUGAGAUACCACCCUUGUUCUGCUUGAUGUCUAACCGCGGUCCGUUAUCCGGAUCCGGGACCCUGUGUGGCGGGUAGUUUGACUGGGGCGGUCGCCUCCUAAAGCGUAACGGAGGCGCGCGAAGGUUGGCUCAGAGCGGUCGGAAAUCGCUCGUUGAGUGCAAUGGCAGAAGCCAGCCUGACUGCGAGACUGACAAGUCGAGCAGAGUCGAAAGACGGCCAUAGUGAUCCGGUGGUCCCGAGUGGAAGGGCCAUCGCUCAACGGAUAAAAGGUACGCCGGGGAUAACAGGCUGAUACUGCCCAAGAGUCCAUAUCGACGGCAGUGUUUGGCACCUCGAUGUCGGCUCAUCUCAUCCUGGGGCUGGAGCAGGUCCCAAGGGUACGGCUGUUCGCCGUUUAAAGAGGUACGUGAGCUGGGUUUAGAACGUCGUGAGACAGUUCGGUCCCUAUCUGCCGUGGGUGUAGGAUACUUGAGAGGAGUUGCCCCUAGUACGAGAGGACCGGGGUGAACGAACCACUGGUGGACCAGUUGUCGUGCCAACGGCAGUGCUGGGUAGCUAUGUUCGGACAGGAUAACCGCUGAAGGCAUCUAAGCGGGAAGCCCCCCUCAAAACAAGGUAUCCCUGAGGACCGUGGUAGACCACCACGUCGAUAGGCCGGAGAUGUAAGCGCAGCAAUGCGUUCAGUUGACCGGUACUAAUUGUCCGAUAGGCUUGAUUUG